GCUUCGCCCGGGCUACGAAAGGCGAAGACACCUGAGCGAGGGCCUCCGCGGGCUCCAAGACCAGGCGCUGGGCAGCAGCAUCUACCUCCUGAGGGAGAUGGGCCCCACCGGCUUCCUGCUGCGGGAGGAGGAGCCGGAAAACAGGGAUUUCCGAGUUUUUCUUGGAAAUCCUCAUGUUUGUAACUGUUCCACAUUUCUGAAAGGAGGGGAACUUUGUAAGCACAUAUGCUGGGUCUUAUUGAAAAAAUUCAAGCUUCCGAGGAAUCAUGAAU